AUUGAACGCUGGCGGCAUGCCUUACACAUGCAAGUCGAACGGUAACGGGCCUUCGGGUGCCGACGAGUGGCGAACGGGGGAGUAAUACAUCGGAACGUGCCCGAUCGUGGGGGAUAACGAGGCGAAAGCUUUGCUAAUACCGCAUACGAUCUACGGAUGACAGCAGGGGACCGCAAGGCCUUGCGCGGACGGAGCGGCCGAUGGCAGAUUAGGUCGUUGGUGGGAUAAAAGCUUACCAAGCCGACGAUCUGUAGCUGGUCUGAGAGGAUGAUCAGCCACACUGGAACUGAGACACGGCCCAGACUCCUACGGGAGGCAGCAGUGGGGAAUUUUGGACAAUGGGCGCAAGCCUGAUCCAGCCAUGCCGCGUGCAGGAUGAAGGCCUUCGGGUUGUAAACUGCUUUUGUACGGAACGAAAAGCCUUCUUUUAAUACAGGAGGGUCAUGACGGUACCGUAAGAAUAAGCACCGGCUAACUACGUG
rnacentral:rRNA from 1 species